AUGGGACUAGCGAAUGAACGAAUGAUGCUCACUGGAUCCGGAGACCCCAAAGAGGAAGAGGAGGAGGAAGAAUUAGUGGACCCCCUAACAACAGUGAGAGAGCACUGUGAACAGCUGGAGAAGUGUGUAAAGGCCCGGGAACGACUAGAGUUGUGUGAUAAGCGCGUGUCUUCCCGAUCACAGUCAGAAGAGGGCUGUACAGAGGAGCGCUUUGACUUCCUGCAUGCACGCGACCACUGUGUGGCCCACAAGCUCUUUAAAGACUUGAGU
rnacentral:lncRNA from 1 species